UCGCCUGUUUAUCAAAAACAUCUCUUCUUGGUUUGUUUUUUGAAGUAUAGCCUGCCCACUGAUAUUGUUUGAAGGGCCGCGGUAUUUUGACCGUGCAAAGGUAGCAUAAUCAUUAGUUCUUUAAUUGUGAACUGGUAUGAAUGGCUUGACGAGGUGCUGACUGUCUUUAUGUUUAAAAGUUUUGUUGAAUUUAGUCUUCGGGUAAAAAUACUCGAAUUUUGUUGUGGGACAGAAGACCUAUAGAGUUUCAUGUAACAUUCUUUUUUUUGUUUGUUAUUUCUUGUUGAGUUUGGUUGCAUUUUGUUGGGGUGAUGAGAAAAUAUGUUUAACUUUUCUUUUUAAUGUUUCACUUAUUUGUGUUUUCAUGAUCCUUUAUUAUUGAUUAUAAGAUUAAAUUACCUUAGGGAUAACAGCGUAAA
rnacentral:rRNA from 1 species